rnacentral:rRNA from 1 species
GACGAACGCUGGAGGCGUGCUUAACACAUGCAAGUCGAACGAUGAAAUGGAGCUUGCUCCAUGGAUUAGUGGCGAACGGGUGAGUAACACGUGAAUAACCUGCCCUUAAUUUUGGAAUAACCCAGGGAAACCUGGGCUAAUACCGGAUAAGUAAACCUGUGGCAUCACAUGGUUUUGGAAAGUUUUUCGAUUAAGGAUGGAUUCGCGGCCUAUCAGCUUGUUGGUGAGGUAAUGACUCACCAAGGCGACGACGGGUAGCCGGCCUGAGAGGGUGAACGGCCACACUGGGACUGAGACACGGCCCAGACUCCUACGGGAGGCAGCAGUGGGGAAUAUUGCGCAAUGGACGAAAGUCUGACGCAGCGACGCCUCGUGAGGGACGAAGGUCUUCGGAUUGUAAACCUCUUUCAGCAGGGACGAAGCGAAAGUGACGGUACCUGCAGAAGAAGCACCGGCUAACUAUGUGCCAGCCGCCGCAGUAA